UACGGGGGGUGCAAGCGUUGUCCGGAAUCACUGGGCGUAAAGGGCGCGUAGGUGGCGUCGUAAGUCUGUGGUGAAAGCCCGGAGCUCAACUCCGGGUCUGCCGCGGAUACUGCGAGGCUUGAGUGCUGUAGAGGGGGGUAGAAUGCCGGGUGUAGCGGUGAAAUGCGUAGAUAUCAGGAGGAACACCUGUGGCGAAAGCGGCUCACUGGACCAUAACUGACGCUGAUGCACGAAAGCUAGGGGAGCAAACAGG
rnacentral:rRNA from 1 species